GAUGAACGCUGGCGGCGUGCUUAACACAUGCGAGUCGAACGAAGCACCUUGACUUGAUUCUUCGGAUGAAGAUCUUGGUGACUGAGUGGCGGACGGGUGAGUAACGCGUGGGUAACCUGCCUCAUACAGGGGGAUAACAGUUAGAAAUGACUGCUAAUACCGCAUAAGACCACAGCACCGCAUGGUGCAGGGGUAAAAACUCCGGUGGUAUGAGAUGGACCCGCGUCUGAUUAGGUAGUUGGUGGGGUAACGGCCUACCAAGCCGACGAUCAGUAGCCGACCUGAGAGGGUGACCGGCCACAUUGGGACUGAGACACGGCCCAAACUCCUACGGGAGGCAGCAGUAGGGAAUAUUGCACGAUGGGGGAGACCCUGAUGCAGCGACGCCGCGUGAGCGAUGAAGUAUUUCGGUAUGUAAAGCUCUAUCAGCAGGGAAGAAAAUGACGGUACCUGACUAAGAAGCACCGGCUAAAUACGUG
rnacentral:rRNA from 1 species